CGAAUACCAGUUGGAGAAGACACAGUCCGUGUAAGCGAUCAAUUAUCCGCGGAGAAAAGGACAUCCGGGGCCACCUAGUCACUCAGUUCAUAACCAGUGUCGGUGCCUCAGUGGUUGGUUGGUAAAGGUUUCACACUAAAUUGAGCCGGAAGAUGUGCCCGUUAAAGAUCCGGAGAGUAUAGGCGGUUCUAACGGUGGACACCAUCCCGAACUCGUUGAAAUUUUACGUCAAUAGCCACGGAAUAACUGAUACACACCCAGUCCUCACGGGAGAGGAUUAAAAGACGAUUUUCUAUAUGAUUAAAAAUUUCGUCGUUAUUCAGCCGGGUGUGGAGGAUCCUUCCUGAUGGUCAUCAAGAUACAGUCCUGGAUCAUAAUCCGAAGCAGAUACCUUAUCGGGGAGCGGCGUUUUUCGAUAGCCAAGAUAAGUUGGUUGGUGACUAGUGCUGACAACGUUUUAUUUCAACUACAUGAUGGGUGUAGCGGCG